CGCGCAGGCGGCUCUUUAAGUCAGGCGUGAAAGCCCGGGGCUCAACCUCGGAAGUGCGUUUGAAGCUAGAGAGCUCGAGUACGGGAGAGGGAAGUGGAAUUCCUGGUGUAGAGGUGAAAUUCGUAGAUAUCAGGAGGAACACCGGUGGCGAAGGCGACUUCCUGGACCGAUACUGACGCUGAGGCGCGAAAGCGUGGGGAGCAAACA
rnacentral:rRNA from 1 species